UACGUAGGGGCCGAGCGUUGUCCGGAGUUAUUGGGCGUAAAGCGCGCGCAGGCGGCCUCGCGCGCCCGACGUGAAAGCCCCCGGCUUAACCGGGGAGGGUCGUUGGGGACGGCGGGGCUUGAGGGCGGGAGAGGUCGGUGGAAUUCCCGGUGUAGUGGUGAAAUGCGUAGAGAUCGGGAGGAACACCGGUGGCGAAGGCGGGUCUCUGGGCAGUAACUGACGCUGAGGAGCGAAAGCGUGGGGAGCGAACAGG
rnacentral:rRNA from 1 species